GACGAACGCUGGCGGCGUGCCUAACACAUGCAAGUCGUACGGGACUAAGGGGGCAACUCUUUAGUUCAGUGGCAGACGGGUGCGUAACACGUGAGGAACCUGUCCGGGUGGCGGGGGAUAGCCGGCCCAACGGCCGGGUAAUACCCGCAUACGGCUCGUUUGGGGGCAUCCCUGAGCGAGGAAAGCAGCCGCAAGGUUGCGCCGGACGGAGGGUCUCGCGGCCUAUCAGCUUGUUGGCGGGGUCACGGCCCACCAAGGCGACGACGGUAGCUGGUCUGAGAGGAUGAUCAGCCACAUUGGGACUGAGACAC
rnacentral:rRNA from 1 species